rnacentral:lncRNA from 1 species
GAUCACUGGACUUUGAUUAUUGAAUUACACACAGGCUAAGGAAGUUUGCACACGGGUAUGUGACACGGCCGUGUAGCCCAACACAAGCCUUUACACAAUCGUGUCUCCCUUUUCAACCCAAAAACCCUUAUUAUUAUUAUUUUUACUUUGUAUCCUUCCUCUCCCACCUUAGCUGCCGUCAAUCUCCUACCCCUUAACCAUCAACCAACACACACUUUUCCCUCCCCUUUUCCUUUCCCUUCUCCUUUUCCACCAUCCACCACCUUCGAAUGACCAAACAACCCUUCUCCCUCGCCGAACUACUAUGACUAGCCCCUCCCCAUCAUCCUCUGCCUUCCUUGUCAUUCCCCUCUUUCCAUUCACUAUCGCUACCCUUAUUCCCUUCCCACCUCCAGCUCCCUUCGAUAACAUAACCCCAACCCCGAUUUUCCCCUUCCCCCUCAUCGCACCCCUACUGCACAAACACCCCCACACCCUUCCC